rnacentral:rRNA from 1 species
UACAGAGGGUGCGAGCGUUAAUCGGAAUUACUGGGCGUAAAGGGCUCGUAGGCGGCCAACUAAGUCAUACGUGAAAUCCCUCAGCUUAACUGGGGAACUGCGUGUGAUACUGGAUGGCUUGGAUUUGGGAGAGGGAUGCGGAAUUCCAGGUGUAGUGGUGGAAUGCGUAGAUAUCGGGAGGAACAUCAGUGGCGAAAGCGACUUCCUGGACCAGUACCGACGUUCAGGCACGAAAGCGUGGGGAGCAAACAGGA